AAAGAAAAGACAGAAACAAGCAAUCUGAGACCAGCUGUUAGUUCUGAAAAGAUUGAGACCAGAUGAGCAAGAAGCAGGUCAUAGUGGGCUACAGAUUCUCCCAAGGAGAGAAAGGACACCAGAGAGCCAGAUUCCUGAUGUUCCUAUGGAAGAGGACUCUCCUUCCAAUUCAUCCUCCUUCCUGCAAGCCAAAGAUGUCAACUUUAAUGUGGCUGCUCCAGUUUGGAUGUCAUCUAUUAUAUCCCAGGAGUGGUGACCAUCAGCAUUUCACCCACAGAUUACAGGACCCAGAAUCUCUUUGAAGAUUCUAGAAGGAAUUUCUGUGUUCACCUGUUACAAUAUAAGAGAGGGAAAGUAUCAUCAUCAUCAACAAUAACAACCACCACCACUGUAAACAGUGAAGCAGAAAGGAGAGAAUAACUCUAUAUCUCAAAUCCUGGGGGCAGUGAACAGGUGAAGAUGUCCCAGAGAACAUCAUAGUAAAGUCCAACAAUGGAGCUUCAUAACCAAGACCUGGAGAUAUCAGCGGUAGCUGAGAGCAUACGCUAAUUCUUGUUUCCCUUUCUUCCUGGGCUCCUGGGCUUCAGCAAUUCUGGAAGUUCUCUUUCCUGAGUGUUUUAAACUGCACUUCAGUGGCUGCCGCGAUGUCCUAAGUCAAGUAAAAACAUUUACCUCCCAUGGCCAUCUUGACUUUGGAAAGGAGCCAGAAGGUUUAUGAUGCCAGAUCUGGUGAAUGAGGUGAGGACACAGCACCACGUUGUUCUUUGACAGAAAUUGUCAUAAACAUUUUGACUUGAUUCAGGGGAUGAGGGGGCCACAACAGCACAACAAAGGCACUCACAAAUAAGGACUUCUAGAGUGGAAAGAAGGAAUAAGUGUACUGAAAGAUGGGGAAUUUUAUUCACUGUUUUAAAUUUGGAUUUUCACUGUAUUCCGUGAUCAUACCUCGCCCAUCACCUAUAGUUCUAGCGCAUGAAGUCUUUUAUAAGGGACCCUCCCUUCUC
ensembl:lincRNA